GAGCCUCGUUAUUUGCUCGUUAUUUCGAGCAGCCUCAAAGGGACGGUUUUCCGGCUGAUUCCGGCGCGAUAAGAGUUUGCGAGGGGGGAGCUCGUGCGAGGAAAUAACGUCGACGGGGAAGGCGCGAUAUUAGCUGGAGAAAAGGAGAGAUUCUUCGAGAAAUUCGUUUCUCGGCCCGCGACAUGUAAAUAAGGGGCUGUCGUCGUCUGGGUUCGAGGCUCGCGCAUAAAAAGCAUCCAUAUCCCGCGGAUUACCGGCAGUCAUUGCGAAUUGCGACACACGGUCUCUCCUCAUCGUGAUAUGCGGGGCGCCGCGUCGCGCGUCGUCGUCGUCGCCGUCGCCGUCGCCGUCGCCGUCACCGUAGUCGUUGACAAGGAGCGUUGAACGUCGCGCUACUGUCGUGUUCGUUUCCAGGCACCACCGUACGAAGGAUGCCGGUGAAGGUCGACGUGAUACCGCCGCCGCCCGCGAACUCGAAACAGCCCGGUGUCACCAAGUCUCUCUUAUACAACGGCUCGCGCUUUCAGGGUUCGCAAAAGUCCAAGGGCAACAGCUACGACGUAGAGGUGGUUUUGCAGCACGUAGACGAAGAGAACAGUUACCUGUGCGGAUAUUUGAAAAUCAAAGGCUUGACCGAGGAAUUUCCGACAUUGACGACGUUUUUCGACGGCGAAAUUAUUUCGAAAAAAUACCCAUUCCUGACCCGCAAGUGGGAUGCGGACGAAGAUGUUGACAAGAAACACUGGAGUAAGUUUGAGUCGUUCUGCCAAUAUGCCAAAACAUUCAAUUCCGAUACAUUUGAUUACGAGGCACUGAAGGGAACAGACUUUGUAUUUAUGAGGUGGAAGGAGCACUUUUUAGUUCCCGAUCACACGAUCAAAGAUAUUAAUGGUGCCUCCUUUGCGGGAUUCUACUACAUUUGCUUCCAGAAAUCCGCCGCCACAAUAGAGGGCUUUUAUUAUCAUCGUAGCUCCGAAUGGUAAAACAAUACACAAGUGUGCAUCUAUUAUAAGUUAAAAACUGGAUAACACUGAAACUUAAUCGGUAUCAGUCCUUGAAUUUGAGACACGUUCCGGAGCACAGUAUACAAAUCUAUGAGUUCAGGUGAAGUCCAUACUUUUGCUGAGAUAUCUCAUGACAUUCAUGUCUUUUCUCUUCUAGCACACAGAUCUCAUAAAAAUUUCCCAAUCGAUUUAUCGAUUUAUCGGUACAUGUCGUAAUAAAUUGAUUUAUUAACCAUGACACUCUUCAUAAUUUUGAGGAGAUUUGCAGCAAAAAGAAUUUAAAAUUUGAUAAUAUUCUUAGUCGAUUAUGCUAAGAAUCAUAAAGACGAGGAUUGCGGAGUGCCUAUUUAGUGCUUGAGUGAUACAAUUGAUUACAGAUUAAUUAUUCUACCAUUGUAAAAUGAUUUUUUGUCGAAAUAAAUUAUCUGAGAGACAUAUCAUUUUAAAUUUUGGUAUUUAUUACUUGCAGUGUGACAGAAGGGUUUUAUGAUAUUUGUUUAUGUUUGUUAUUGUGAUCUAAAUACACAUUAAACAUUCAGUUUAAUAACUAACAAAAAGGAUAUAUAGUACAUGUAUUUAUAGUUAUGUGUAAAAUGAGGGGGAUAAGCUCAAAACUUUAUAUUUUUAAGAGGUUGGCUAAAAGCGAUAAAAGAGUAAUUAUACAAUUAAAAAAUUAUUUUUAUUUUAUUUUAUUUGGGAGUUUAUGAGAUCUGUCUGCUAUAUUAUGGAAGAUCAGGUGUACUUGUUGUCUGAAUGAAGCUGUACGUAUGUCGUAAAAAAAAAAAAAGGAAUGAUGGUCACGAAAGCUAAAUCGAGAUUUGAUCUGUAUUUUGUACGUUGAAAACAAACAUUUAUUUAUUUAUUUUACGUGAUUGAUCUUUAUCUAAUUUAUAUAUGCAUAUAUAAAAUAUAUGUAUACCUGAUUUUUUAAGAAUAGAUAUUAGGCACACACAUGUUGGCUGUUUAUAAAACUUGUCAUCAUGUUUUAAUUAAGUGUUAAUAUCAAUUUCUUCUUAGGCAAAUAGUACUCUAUUGUGAUAAGCACAUUAUCGUAAUAUAUAUACGAAUGUGUAUAAAUUUACAGAUUGUAAUGAGUAAUGUGUAGCUUAUCCUAAAUUUAUAUUGGCAUAGUACAGCUUUCAUUUGCGUUUAUGAAAAUAUUUUUAAUCACCAGUGAUAUAUUGAUAUUUUAAACAGCACAUGUUAUGUUCUAUAUUAUAUUUUCGAUAUUAUGUUUAUUAGCAUUGUUAAGUACUAAUAAUUUUUUUUAUAUAUAUUUGUGCUAAAUAAUCUAUUCAAAUACUCAGAAACUAAUGAAACAGUAAAAAGCAUGUUUAUUACUAAUUAUGAUGAAUCAAAUCGACAAAUUCGCAUAGUGAACAGUCACAAAUCAGAUGAUGGAAAACGUAAAGUAUAUGUAAGAUAUAUAAUUAAUAUAAUAUCAGAUAUCUUCUAAAUAUAUAUACACUCGCUCUCUAUAAAUUAUUGUUAAUUAUGUUAAGCCGAACUUUAUCAUAAAAUAAUUUACUGUUAUCACAUUUUUAUUUGUGAGCUAUACAUUGUUAUGUUUCUUUAAGAAGAAUAUUUAUCUUAGUUGAUGAUAACAGUUGUAAAUAUGCUUUGCAAAAUGUAACAUUUCAAUCUAUAUAGAAUUAGUCUUUCAAAUUUUUUUUUUUUUUUUUUUUUUUGCGAGCUUUGCGGAACUGAUUAUUUUCGAGCGCUAAACGAGUUUAACUUUAAAUCUUGUUAAGAGCAUCACAUAAAAUACGAAAUAUUAUAUUGAUUUACUCUAACACUGUAUUAUUCCACAAUUUAUGAAGGGAUUGUUGAAAUGUGUUUUAAAUGACAUACAUAUGUUCAUAAAUAUUCCAUUUAUUUUUAUUGUACAACUAUAUAUAUAUAUAUGUUUUAAACUGAAACAUUUAGAAAUUUAAAUGAAUAUAAAUCGAACAGUCACAGAUUACGAUUUGCUGUUACUACAAUUUGAAUGUGAUUGUCGUUGGAAUAUAUCGAUUGAUGGAAGUUAUAAUACUCAGAUUAAUAAGAAAAAAAUAAUGUUACAA